rnacentral:misc_RNA from 1 species
UCGCGGCUUAUCACCGGCAGUCUCCCAUGAGUCCCCGACAUUACUCGCUGGCAACUAAAGGCAGGGGUUGCGCUCGUUGCGGGACUUAACCCAACAUCUCACGACCCGAGCUGACGACAGCCAUGCAGCACCUCGACUAGCGUCCCUUGCGGGAAAAGAAACUUUCGCCUCCUGUCACUAGCCGUUCGAGCCCAGGUAAGGUUCUUCGCGUUGCGUCGAAUUAAACCACAUACUCCACCGCUUGUGCGGGCCCCCGUCAAUUCCUUUAUGUUUUAGUCUUGCGACCGUACUCCACAGGCGGGAUACUUAACGCGUUAGCUUCGCUACUGAAGGGGUCGAUACCUCCAACAGCUAGUAUCCAUCGUUUACGGCGUGGACUAC